CCUUAUGGCUAUACCACGCUGAGCCCGCCCGAUCUCGUCUGAUCUCGGAGGCUAGGCAGGGUCAGGCCUGGUUAGCACUUGGAUGUUUAAAUCUCUGUAGUAAAACAUUAUGGAAAUUGAAUGCUGCACUAAAGU
rnacentral:rRNA from 1 species